UGGGGAAUUUUGGACAAUGGGCGCAAGCCUGAUCCAGCCAUGCCGCGUGCGGGAAGAAGGCCUUCGGGUUGUAAACCGCUUUUGUCAGGGAAGAAAUCUUCUGAGUUAAUACCUCGGGAGGAUGACGGUACCUGAAGAAUAAGCACCGGCUAACUACGUGCCAGCAGCCGCGGUAAUACGUAGGGUGCAAGCGUUAAUCGGAAUUACUGGGCGUAAAGCGUGCGCAGGCGGUUUUGUAAGACAGAGGUGAAAUCCCCGGGCUCAACCUGGGAACUGCCUUUGUGACUGCAAGGCUUGAGUGCGGCAGAGGGGGAUGGAAUUCCGCGUGUAGCAGUGAAAUGCGUAGAUAUGCGGAGGAAACACCGAUGGCGAAGGCAAUCCCCUGGGCCUGCACUGACGCUCAUGCACGAAAGCGUGGGGAGCAAACAGGAUUAGAUAGCCCUGGUAGUCCACGCCCUAAAACGAUGUCAACUGGUUGUUGGGAAGGUUCCUUCUCAGUAACGUAGCUAACGCG
rnacentral:rRNA from 1 species